CAAUAGCGUAUAUUAAAGUUGUUGCAGUUAAAAAGCUCGUAGUUGGAUUUCUGGUCGGAAGCUCCUGUCCUCUGAUGAGCGUACAAGUGCGUCCUACCAUCCUUCUGUUAACCUUUAAGGCUUUCGCGGCUUUCUAGGGGCUCAGAUAUUUUACCUUGAGAAAAUUAGAGUGUCUCAGGCAGGCUAGCGCCGGAAUACAUUAGCAUGGAAUAAUGGAAUAGGACUUUUGCCUCUUCUGUUGGUCAUGAGGCUCGAGUAAUGAUUAAUAGGGAUAGUUGGGGGCAUUAGUACUUAACUGUCAGAGGUGAAAUUCUCGGAUUUGUUAAAGACUAACUUAUGCGAAANCANNNGCCAAGGAUGUUUUCAUNAA
rnacentral:rRNA from 1 species